UACGAAGGGGGCAAGCGUUAUUCGGAUUUAUUGGGCGUAAAGGGCGCGCAGGCGGCUCAGCAAGUCUGAUGUGAAAUCUCCCAGCUCACCUGGGAGGGGCCAUUGGAAACUGCUGAGCUUGAGGUCCGGAGAGGCCGGCGGAAUUCCCGGUGUAGCGGUGGAAUGCGUAGAUAUCGGGAAGAACACCAGUGGCGAAGGCGGCCGGCUGGACGGCACCUGACGCGGAGGCGCGAAAGUGCGGGGAGCAAACGGG
rnacentral:rRNA from 1 species